rfam:Ricinus communis cultivar Hale ctg_1100012337577, whole genome shotgun sequence.
AUAUGUUUCUCGGCCUUUUUGGCUAAGAUCAAAUGUAGUAUCUGUUCUUAUCAGUUUAAUAUCUGAUACGUGAAUCAUUGAUUCAUAUGAUAUUAAAUUUAUUUUUUUAGAGAGAGGGCUCAUCACAAUAGCUUGCUAUUGGAGUCCUUGAGUGUUGCUUGUGUGUUGCAUUAUAGCACAGGCCUGGUGCAACCCUC